rnacentral:rRNA from 1 species
GAUGAACGCUGGCGGCGUGCUUAACACAUGCAAGUCGAACGGAAAGGCCUCUGCUUGCAGGGGUACUCGAGCGGCGAACGGGUGAGUAACACGUGGGUGAUCUGCCCUGCACUUCGGGAUAAGCCUGGGAAACUGGGUCUAAUACCGGAUAGGACAAUGGUUUGGAUGCUGUUGUGGAAAGUUUUUCGGUGUGGGAUGAGCUCGCGGCCUAUCAGCUUGUUGGUGGGGUAAUGGCCUUCCAAGGCGUCGACGGGUAGCCGGCCUGAGAGGGUGUACGGCCACAUUGGGACUGAGAUACGGCCCAGACUCCUACGGGAGGCAGCAGUGGGGAAUAUUGCACAAUGGGCGCAAGCCUGAUGCAGCGACGCCGCGUGGGGGAUGACGGCAUUCGGGUUGUAAACUCCUGUCGCUAGGGACGAAGCGUUUUUGUGACGGUACCUGGAGAAGAAGCACCGGCUAACUACGUG